GUGGGGAAUAUUGCGCAAUGGCCGCAAGGCUGACGCAGCGACGCCGCGUGUGGGAUGAAGGCCUUCGGGUUGUAAACCACUGUCAGGAGGGACGAAUACCUGGCUUCAAAUAGUUGACCAGGGGUGACGGUACCUCCAAAGGAAGCACCGGCUAACUCCGUGCCAGCAGCCGCGGUAAUACGGAGGGUGCGAGCGUUGUCCGGAAUCACUGGGCGUAAAGAGCGCGUAGGCGGUCGUUUAAGUCGUUUGUGAAAUCCCGAGGCUCAACCUCGGGCCUGCAGGUGAAACUGGAUGGCUAGAGCACGGUAGGGGCGAGCGGAAUUCCCGGUGUAGCGGUGGAAUGCGUAGAUAUCGGGAGGAACACCCGUGGCGAAGGCGGCUCGCUGGGCCGUUGCUGACGCUGAGGCGCGAAAGCGUGGGUAGCAAACAGG
rnacentral:rRNA from 1 species